CUGAGGAGGGAGCUGAGCCAAGUGGGCUACACAGAGAGAGCAUGCCGUACAGUUCCGCCUCACCUUAUGACACUAGAAGGGAACCGCUUGAACUUUCGGCCUCAGCCAGAGAGUAAGGAGCAGCGCAGCGCGAUCAAUCCUUUGAGCAAUGGCCAAUGCCCCCCCUUCCAUUACCAGAUGACUCGUUAGUGCCAGAGGAAGAGGGGGGUGACGGACACCUGCCCCCUCCGCCAUGGCCUUCCUCCGACUACCUUCCAGAGUCGGCAGCUGUCGAGGACCAGCGAGUGGUCAUUGCCAUAGACCGAAUGAUGAGUGAGUUACAGCUCAUGAGAGACAGUGUGACAGCCAGCAUCACAGCCCACACUCGUCCACAUGUGACCCUUCGAAGCCUGAACCCCCCUCAACCUAGACGAGGUCCUGGACAGUAUGAUGCCUUGUCUUCAACCCCGAGACCAGGAACCUGUUCACCCAUCUCACGUCCGCAACCCAGUAUGUAUCACACUAAUGCAGGAUGCUUAACUCAGCAUCCAGUUAGGCCUGAUAUGAGCCGACUGCAUGCCGCCAGAGGCAGACAGUUCUCGUCAGUAUCCGCGAAUCAGAGAAGAGGAGUGUAUAUAUGGCCGGUGCCGAAAAUUCCUCUGUUUAUCCAUAACGACCCAAUGGAGUUUUCUCUGCUAAAAUUAGCUCUGUCAAACCUGCUACCCACAGAUACUAAAGAGCUUUUCAAGUAUCAGAUUCUUGUGGACCAUGUGAAACUUGAAGAGGCCUGUCUCAUUGCCGACUCCUUCAUUAACUCACCUAGGCCAUACACGGACACCAUGGCAGCCUUGACUGAGAAGUUUGGCCAGCCGCACCACGUAGCCUUGACUUGGAUUGCUGCAGUGAUGGAUUCGCCUGAGAUUAAGAGAGGAGAUAUAGCAGCCUUCGAGAAAUUCUCUCUGCACGUACAGUCAUUUGUAGUUAUGCUGCAGACAUUAGGCCCAGACGGAGAAGUCGAGCUGAGAUGCAGCUCACAUGUGGCCCGUCUCCUUACCAAGCUUCCAACUGAGAUGAGAGUGAACUUCAGGCGUAUGAUGUUCCACCGUCCUGGACCCACUCAUACGCUGCUCGACCUGGCAGAAUGGCUUCGAUAUGAGUCGUGGUGUCAAGGAUAUGACAACCCAUCUGACAUCCGCACCCCAGGGCUGUCCGGCUACCGAGCUGAGAAGCGACGAAGCAAGCCCGUAGCUACGGUCCUACAUGGGGCUGAGAGCAACACGUCGAACCAAGCAACUAGACAAGAAGGUCAGAGUUCAUCCGCGC
rnacentral:lncRNA from 1 species